UAUUACUAAGCGGAGGAAAAGAAACUAACKAAGAUUGACAUAGUAAGGGCGACUGAAAUGUCACGAGCUCAGCAUGUGAAUCAGUGUUGACUCUUGUCAGCACUGAAUUGUGGUCUUACGGUUCUUGCACUAACUAGUGMRUUCAGACCAUGUUUUUUGGAAUAAAAUAGCACAGAGGGUGAAACUCCCGUUUGUCUGAACACACAAAGUUGCCAGCAAGUACUACCGAGUCGAGUUGUUUGGGAUUGCAGCUCAAAUGCGGUGGUAAAUUCCAUCUGCAGCUAAAUAUUGGUGGGAGACCGAUAGCGUACAAGUACCGUGAGGGAAAGAUGCAAAGAACUUUGAAAAGAGAGUGAAAGAGUACCUGAAAUUGCUGAAAAGGAAGCGAACGAAGCUAGUGAAAGCUACGUCAUACUUUCCAACUUGCUUGCAACUUGGACGCUGUGGCGAGCCUWGUUCGGCUYGAUUGCGCAGUCRAUGUGAAAGCAGGUGACGAAAAGUUGUUUACCUUUUUUCGUCUGCCUUUGGCACAUACCRCAAUUSAGCUGAACCAAAUARCUUUGUUUGUCCCGUCUAGAAACACGGACCAAGGAGUCUAACAUAUGUGCGAGUACUGGGGUUAYUACAUACCUACUCGGUGCGCAAUGAAAGUGUCAGAGGCUGGAAUGCAGUUGCAUUGCACAGUCCGCCGGCCUCAAUCCCUCGGGAGAAUGGUCUGAGUGUGAGCAUACAUGUUGGGACCCGAAAGAUGGUGAACUAUGCUUGAGUAGGGUGAAGCCAGGGGAAACUUUGGUGAAGGCUCGCAGCGAUUCUGACGUGCAAAUCGAUCGUCAAACUUGAGUAUAGGGGCGAAAGACUAAUCGAACUAUCUAGUAGCUGGUUCCCUCCGAAAUUUCCCUUAGGAUAGCAGCAAUCGUUGCCAGUUUUGUCA
rnacentral:rRNA from 1 species